AGUGAACGCUGGCGGUAGGCCUAACACAUGCAAGUCGAACGGCAGCACAGUAAGAGCUUGCUCUUACGGGUGGCGAGUGGCGGACGGGUGAGGAAUACAUCGGAAUCUACUUUUUCGUGGGGGAUCACGUAGGGAAACUUACUCUAAUACCGCAUACGACCUACGGGUGAAAGCAGGGGAUCUUCGGACCUUGCGCGAUUGAAUGAGCCGAUGUCGGAUUAGCUAGUUGGCGGGGUAAAGGCCCACCAAGGCGACGAUCCGUAGCUGGUCUGAGAGGAUGAUCAGCCACACUGGAACUGAGACACGGUCCAGACUCCUACGGGAGGCAGCAGUGGGGAAUAUUGGACAAUGGGCGCAAGCCUGAUCCAGCCAUACCGCGUGGGUGAAGAAGGCCUUCGGGUUGUAAAGCCCUUUUGUUGGGAAAGAAAAGCAGCAGGUUAAUACCCCGCUGUUCUGACGGUACCCAAAGAAUAAGCACCGGCUAACUUCGUG
rnacentral:rRNA from 1 species